GGGGAAAAGAAAAAAGCUGAAACACAAGGUUCAUCUGUUCCAUGUGCAACAUUCAGUAUUGGAUGAUCUGGAUUCAGUACAGAAAGCCUGGACUUUUGAGCCUAAACAGGAUCUGAAGCAGAAGGAUGAAAAACAGAUCAACCAACAACAAGAAUCAACCAUCUUGGUUUCUCAUUUGUCAAUAAUGGGCAAUAGUCCUGCCCACAUAUCAGGGAAUGUAUAUGCCAUAAUUAAAUACUAAUGCUUCUAUCUUCUCUAGAGAAUUUGUUCCUUUAUGUGAAAAAUAUUAUUUCUUCUUAAUAAGCAAUGUAUGACAAUUGAGGAGGCAUAAAAAUUAGAGAAAAAUAAAAAGGAAAAUGUCUGUAGUUGCACAUUAUAUCAUAAGUAAUCUGCAUUUUAUUGUUUUUGUGAUACUCUAGAAAUGGAUAUGUUUUAGUAAACCUAAUUUAACUCAUUAAUCCAUCUGGAAUUUCCUUUGUAAUAUUUUAUAAAAUGUGAAUCGAGACUGAUAAAUGUUCUAAAUAGUCAAAUUUGCUAAACCUUUUAUAAACUGUUUUCCUUUAUAUUUACUUUUAUUUUCUCUUUUAUUAUAUAUUUCAUUCCUGUAUCUAUUACCUAUAUAUGAUAUCUAUAUCUACCUAAUUGGGGCUAUUUCCACUAAUGUGCCCAUAUAUUCUUGUAACAGAAUCACAUUAUCUUAAGAAUAGUGACAUAAAUAUUAUUUCCCUGAUAGGGCUACCCAUUUCCACUAUCAUAAAAUCUAUUUAUUUUAGAAAAUUGGCUUUGUAUCAUUAGUCUAUAUUUUCUGAUGAACUUUGGAAUCCAUCUUAUGCUAUUCAACAUUGCAAAGAAUGAUUGGAAUUGCAUUAAUCCCAUUUAUUUGAGAAAAACUGAGGCAUUUGCAAUAAUAGUCAAUCUAAUUGGAAACAUACUAUAAUUCCCUAUGUAUUCAAGUCUUCUCUUUAUACUAUUUAAUAAAUUAUAGUUUAUUUUUAUAUAGGUUCAACAUAACACUGGUUAAGACUUUUUUCAAGGCAGUAUAUCCUUUGGUCUCUAUUGUACAUUUCUUUAUUUUUUUUCUAAAUAUAUACCAUUGACCUAUACAAUUUUUUGGACUGACAUUAUAUUUGAGUGAGUUAUUCAAAAUAUUUAUAAAUCAUGGUAGUUAAUGGUUGAAUCUUUUAAGUUAUUCUUAAAAAAGCAUAUCAUCUGCAAACAACUUCCAUCAUUGUCCUCCUAAUUUGUUGUAUUUUUAUUUAUC
rnacentral:lncRNA from 10 species